AAAGAAGAGGUGUUGGAAGAUGAGAAGAGGAGGAGAAGAAGAAAAGAUUAAAAAAGAAAAGGACUCCCUUGGACUGUGACCUCACUGUGACCCAAGAGGAGGUGGCCACUCAACGCUGAGGCCACACGGCUCCCUUCCUUAUGCAGGAAAGUCAAGCCAAUAGACACACUGCACCACCAAGCAAGCCAAGACAAGCCACAAUGCAACACAAGCCUUCUACAACGCCUACAGCCAUCAGCAACACCCAGAGUACAAGACAACACCUGGAGUCAUGAAGAACAGUUAGGAUGGAUAAGCAGUUUGGAAUGUUAUUUUUUUAAGGACAUUUUAA
rnacentral:lncRNA from 1 species